rnacentral:snRNA from 1 species
AUACCUUUCUCGGCCUUUUGGCUAAGAUCAAGUGUAGUAUCUGUUCUUAUCAGUUUAAUAUCUGAUACGUGGGACAUCGUCCCACAUGAUAUUAAAUUAAUUUUUUUCUUGGGGGAGGUCCCACCACAAUAGCUUGCUAUUGGGGCCCUCGAGCGUCGCCCUUGCGUUGCACUACUGCACGGGCCUGGCGCACCCCCA